AUUGAACGCUGGCGGCAUGCCUUACACAUGCAAGUCGAACGGCAGCACGGGAGCAAUCCUGGUGGCGAGUGGCGAACGGGUGAGUAAUACAUCGGAACGUGCCCAAUCGUGGGGGAGUAACUACGCGAAGACGUAGCUAAUACCGCAUACGAUCUACGGAUGAAAGCAGGGGAGUCGCAAGACCUUGCGCGAAUGGAGCGGCCGAUGGCAGAUUAGGAGUUGGUGAGGUAAAGGCUCACCAAGCCUUCGAUCUGUAGCUGGUCUGAGAGGACGACCAGCCACACUGGGACUGAGACACGGCCCAGACUCCUACGGGAGGCAGCAGUGGGGAAUUUUAGGUACAAUGGGCGCAAGCCUGAUCCAGCCAUGCCGCGUGCAGGAUGAAGG
rnacentral:rRNA from 1 species